GGCGGCGAUGGCGGGGCCGGCGCCUCGUCGACCCGCGGCGUCGACGAGGAGUCAUUCGUCCAUCGGUUCGACGUUCCGGUGGCUGCUG
rnacentral:tRNA from 1 species